UACGGAGGAUGCAGGCGUUAUCCGGAUUCAUUGGGUUUAAAGGGUGCGUAGGCGGCUUUUUAAGUCAGUGGUGAAAUCCUGUCGCUUAACGAUAGAAUUGCCAUUGAUACUGAAGAGCUUGAGUUUAGUUGAGGUAAGCGGAAUGUGUAGUGUAGCGGUGAAAUGCUUAGAUAUUACACAGAACACCGAUUGCGAAGGCAGCUUACUAAGCUAACACUGACGCUGAUGCACGAAAGCGUGGGGAGCGAACAGG
rnacentral:rRNA from 1 species